UACACACCUACAAGGUGUCUGCUGUGGGGCAGCUACUGUAGCAGGCAUGAGGACUACAGAGAGAAAAAUAAGUACUCUAUGCGCUGAAAAUGCUUAGAGUCCCAGCCAGGGACACACCCAAAGAGGAGCAGCUUUAGUUCAAAGCAUGUGGAUGCCGGGUUAGUUGCCAGUUCUGACUGUAAAGUCUCAGACUUACCCACCUGCCCUUUCUGAGAGUUCUUGAUUGGAGACGAUCUGGGGGAUCAUAUCCAGAUGACAGCCAGCAUGUCUCUGAUAUUGACAGACUCCUCUUAUAGGUGUAAGUAAAAAGUUCUAAGUGACAUCUGCAUCUGAAUUAGGGCUGCCUUCUCCUCCCUGCUGUCCUCUCUCCUGGGUUCUCCAUUAGAUCUUCCAGAACAGAAACAUGGAGUUCAGUUGGCAGUGGAAGUGAUUUCACCCCAGCCUCGACCUUGGUGUCUACUGGGCGGUGUCUCCGCUCAGGCCCAGCCUCUGGGUUUAAGAUACCAGAGUAAAAUGUUGAUGUUAUUGUAAGUGCGUAGAAAGAAAAAGAGGUGGUAAUGCUGGCAGAAAUUAC
rnacentral:lncRNA from 1 species